rnacentral:rRNA from 1 species
UGCAAGUCGAGCGAAUGGAUUAAGAGCUUGCUCUUAUGAAGUUAGCGGCGGACGGGUGAGUAACACGUGGGUAACCUGCCCAUAAGACUGGGAUAACUCCGGGAAACCGGGGCUAAUACCGGAUAACAUUUUGAACCGCAUGGUUCGAAAUUGAAAGGCGGCUUCGGCUGUCACUUAUGGAUGGACCCGCGUCGCAUUAGCUAGUUGGUGAGGUAACGGCUCACCAAGGCAACGAUGCGUAGCCGACCUGAGAGGGUGAUCGGCCACACUGGGACUGAGACACGGCCCAGACUCCUACGGGAGGCAGCAGUAGGGAAUCUUCCGCAAUGGACGAAAGUCUGACGGAGCAACGCCGCGUGAGUGAUGAAGGCUUUCGGGUCGUAAAACUCUGUUGUUAGGGAAGAACAAGUGCUAGUUGAAUAAGCUGGCACCUUGACGGUACCUAACCAGAAAGCCACGGCUAACUACGUGCCAGCAGCCGCGGUAAUACGUAGGUGGCAAGCGUUAUCCGGAAUUAUUGGGCGUAAAGCGCGCGCAGGUGGUUUCUUAAGUCUGAUGUGAAAGCCCACGGCUCAACCGUGGAGGGUCAUUGGAAACUGGGAGACUUGAGUGCAGAANAGGAAAGUGGAAUUCCAUGUGUAGCGGUGAAAUGCGUAGAGAUAUGGAGGAACACCAGUGGCGAAGGCGACUUUCUGGUCUGUAACUGACACUGAGGCGCGAAAGCGUGGGGAGCAAAAANGAUUAGAUACCCUGGUAGUCCCCCCCGCCAACAAUGAGUGCUGAUGUUAGAGGGUGUCCUCCCNUUCAUUGGUGGAANUAAANAAAAUAAANCACUUCACCCCGGCGNGUACGGCCNCCCCGGAGGAAAAGAAA